UAUCGUAUUUUACAAAAGCUCCAAUUAUAAGAAUUGGAUUUGUUAAUUCCUAAGAAUUACUUAUCAUCGAUCAACAUGUGAUGUGUAUUGAAUAUUGAUCCGUUAAAAAAUAGUACUAAUAAAACUUGUUGUAUGGAGCGAAAUGCGCCUGUAUUCAAGAGAUAGCAGAUGCAAGUUUUGGCGCCAAUUCGAUCCCCAAGAUGGGUCUCAACCAGGAGAAUUUUCGAGCAAAAAAUCUCCGACCUCCACAAAUGCACAGACCCAAGCCAGCUGAAGCAGGUCUUGGCAGUCAUCUACAAGUCCAAUCUCCACACCGACAUUUUUAUCGCAACCAAGCUCAUUUCCGCUUUCUCUCUUUGCCGCCAAAUGCGCUCGGCUGUUACCAUACACAACCAAAUUCGUCAGCCCGAUGCGCAAGCUUAUAACGUUUUAAUCAGAGCCCAUGUUCGAAAUUCUCAGCCAUCCCAAGCCUUGGCGGCUUUCUCCCAAAUGCAAAGCUACGGCGUUCGACCUAAUGUUUUCACCUACCCAUUCCUGUUGAAGGCCUUCUCGGGGUUGGAAAUCGUGGCCGCGACUCAUGCCCACGUCGAGAAAUUCGGAUUUGUUGAGGAUAUAUUGGUGCUUAACUCGCUAAUUGAAGCCUACUCCAAGUGUGGGUUGAUGGGUGUUUGUGCGGCAAAGAAGCUGUUCAGUCUAAUGGUGCAGACAGACCAUGUGUCGUACAAUUGUAUGAUCAGCGGGUUGGUGAAAGCAGGUCAGUUGACCGAAGCCCGGGAACUGUUCGAUGAAAUGCCUGAAAGAGACACGGUAAGUUGGAAUGCAAUCUUGGACGGGUACGUGAAGUCGGGAGAGAUCACUGUGGCUUUUCAGUUAUUUCAAAGUAUGCCGUUGAGGGAUUCGGUUUCUUGGUCAACUAUGGUUUUGGGUUAUAGAAAGGCAGGGAAUAUGGAGAUGGCGAGAAAUUUGUUUGAUGAGAUGCCUGUCAAGAAUAUGGUGGCGUGGACUAUAAUAAUAUCCGGGUAUGCUGAAAAGGGACUCUUAAAGGAGGCAAUGAGGCUGUAUAAUGAAAUGGAGGAGGCUGGUCUGAAGCCGGAUGAAGGGACUAUUAUUAGCGUCUUAGGUGCCUGUGCAGAUUCUGGUAUGGUUGGCUUGGGCAGAAGAGUUCAUGAUUCUGUAAAGAGGAAUAGGUUUAGUUUCGGUAUCCGGGUGUCCAACGCUUUAGUUAACAUGUAUGUUAAGUGUGGGUGCUUGGAUGAGGCCUUGAGUAUUUUCCAUGGGAUGAAAGAGAGAAACUCGGUAUCCUGGAGUACUAUGAUCCACGGAUUGGGUCUACAUGGCUAUGGAGAGAAGGCUGUCCAACUCUUCUCUAGAAUGACACGGGAAGGAUUUGCACCUAACAAAGUAACGUUCCUAGGGAUCCUGUCUGCUUGUAGUCAUGCAGGCUUGGUUGAUGAGGGCAUUCAGUAUUUUUACAGAAUGCAGAGGGAUUAUGGGGUUAUCCCUGAAAUUGAGCACUAUGGCUGCAUGGUUGACCUUCUUGGUCGUGGAGGUCGUCUUAUGGAAGCUUUUGGGCUUGCUCAUAACAUGCCAUUUGAACCAAAUGACAAAAUUUGUGGUGCACUUUUGGCAGCUUGUAGAAAGCAUUAUACUGUCACACGUGCAGAGGACGAACUCAAGCAACUAGUUCAACUAGACUUGAAGAAUACGGGAAAUUUAUCAAUGUUAUCAGAUAUUUAUGCGGCAACAGGAGACUGGACCAGUGUUGCAGGUGCAAGGCUGUGCAUGAAGAACAUGAGCAGCGAAAAGCCUUCUGGGGCCAGUUCAAUCGAGUUGGAUGAUGAAUAUUAUGAAUUUACCAUGAUGGACAGAUCUCACCCUAAAUCUGAUAUGAUAUAUCAGGUGAUUGACCAAUUGGGUGAACAUCUUAGGAAGAUUAGUUAUGUCCGUACAGCUUCUUGCUAAGGAUCACAACAGAAUCUUGUGCUGUUUGAGAUAUUGCUCAGAUGAUGCUUGUGACGCCAUCUUUCGGUUGUUCAAAGUGGAAAAGUUGCUGUAUCGGAGAGCUCAACGGGUAUUCUUCCUUGAAACCAAUCUUGCCAGGAUAAUGUUACGAAGCCAAUGGGAAAAUGCAACGUAUUAUAUGAAAGAAGCUGUAGUGUAAUUUGUUCACAGCCAAAAUAUUUUCCCGUGGGUGCUGUGGUGGCGAAAAGAACUGUUUGAGAUGAUGACACAUCAUCGAUGAACUGCUUAAAAAUAUUAUUGCUAGAGACAAAACCUUGUGAACCCAAAGGGAAAAAAAAAAAAAUGACACCUUGGCCACUACGUGUUCAUUUCAGCCAAAGUCUUUCAAC